rnacentral:rRNA from 1 species
CCGAUAGUGAACCAGUACCGUGAGGGAAAGGCGAAAAGAACCCCGGCGAGGGGAGUGAAAAAGAACCUGAAACCGUGUACGUACAAGCAGUGGGAGCCCCACCACUAAGCCAGUGGUGAACUCCACAUACGCAUCCUUUGCUGAGGAUACGGUUAACGGAGCGAAAGCGACGUUCAACCGCAAAAGAAGCAGAGGGGGCUUAGUGGUGGGGUGACUGCGUACCUUUUGUAUAAUGGGUCAGCGACUUAUAUUCUGUAGCAAGGUUAACCGAAUAGGGGAGCCGGAGGGAAACCGAGUCUUAACCGGGCGUUAAGUUGCAGGGUAUAGACCCGAAACCCGGUGAUCUAGCCAUGGGCAGGUUGAAGGUUGGGUAACACUAACUGGAGGACCGAACCGACUAAUGUUGAAAAAUUAGCGGAUGACCUGUGGCUGGGGGUGAAAGGCCAAUCAAACCGGGAGAUAGCUGGUUCUCCCCGAAAGCUAUUUAGGUAGCGCCUCGUGAAUUCAUCUCCGGGGGUAGAGCACUGUUUCGGCUAGGGGGCCAUCCCGGCUUACCAACCCGAUGCAAACUGCGAAUACCGGAGAAUGUUAUCACGGGAGACACACGGCGGGUGCUAACGUCCGUCGUGAAGAGGGAAACAACCCAGACCGCCAGCUAAGGUCCCAAAGUCAUGGUUAAGUGGGAAACGAUGUGGGAAGGCCCAGACAGCCAGGAUGUUGGCUUAGAAGCAGCCAUCAUUUAAAGAAAGCGUAAUAGCUCACUGGUCGAGUCGGCCUGCGCGGAAGAUGUAACGGGGCUAAACCAUGCACCGAAGCUGCGGCAGCGACGCUGAUGCGUUGUUGGGUAGGGGAGCGUUCUGUAAGCCUGUGAAGGUGGCCUGUGAGGGUUGCUGGAGGUAUCAGAAGUGCGAAUGCUGACAUAAGUAACGAUAAAGCGGGUGAAAAGCCCGCUCGCCGGAAGACCAAGGGUUCCUGUCCAACGUUAAUCGGGGCAGGGUGAGUCGACCCCUAAGGCGAGGCCGAAAGGCGUAGUCGAUGGGAAACGGGUUAAUAUUCCCGUACUUGGUGUUACUGCGAAGGGGGGACGGAGAAGGCUAUGUUGGCCGGGCGACGGUUGUCCCGGUUUAAGCGUGUAGGUGUGUGUUCCAGGUAAAUCCGGUUCACUUUAACACUGAGGCGUGAUGACGAGGCACUACGGUGCUGAAGCAACAAAUGCCCUGCUUCCAGGAAAAGCCUCUAAGCAUCAGGUAACAUCAAAUCGUACCCCAAACCGACACAGGUGGUCAGGUAGAGAAUACCAAGGCGCUUGAGAGAACUCGGGUGAAGGAACUAGGCAAAAUGGUGCCGUAACUUCGGGAGAAGGCACGCUGACACGUAGGUGAAGUGAUUUACUCAUGGAGCUGAAGUCAGUCGAAGAUACCAGCUGGCUGCAACUGUUUAUUAAAAACACAGCACUGUGCAAACACGAAAGUGGACGUAUACGGUGUGACGCCUGCCCGGUGCCGGAAGGUUAAUUGAUGGGGUCAGCGCAAGCGAAGCUCCUGAUCGAAGCCCCGGUAAACGGCGGCCGUAACUAUAACGGUCCUAAGGUAGCGAAAUUCCUUGUCGGGUAAGUUCCGACCUGCACGAAUGGCGUAAUGAUGGCCAGGCUGUCUCCACCCGAGACUCAGUGAAAUUGAACUCGCUGUGAAGAUGCAGUGUACCCGCGGCAAGACGGAAAGACCCCGUGAACCUUUACUAUAGCUUGACACUGAACAUUGAGCCUUGAUGUGUAGGAUAGGUGGGAGGCUUUGAAGUGUGGACGCCAGUCUGCAUGGAGCCGGCCUUGAAAUACCACCCUUUAAUGUUUGAUGUUCUAACGUGGACCCGUGAUCCGGGUUGCGGACAGUGUCUGGUGGGUAGUUUGACUGGGGCGGUCUCCUCCUAAAGAGUAACGGAGGAGCACGAAGGUUGGCUAAUCCUGGUCGGACAUCAGGAGGUUAGUGCAAUGGCAUAAGCCAGCUUGACUGCGAGCGUGACGGCGCGAGCAGGUGCGAAAGCAGGUCAUAGUGAUCCGGUGGUUCUGAAUGGAAGGGCCAUCGCUCAACGGAUAAAAGGUACUCCGGGGAUAACAGGCUGAUACCGCCCAAGAGUUCAUAUCGACGGCGGUGUUUGGCACCUCGAUGUCGGCUCAUCACAUCCUGGGGCUGAAGUAGGUCCCAAGGGUAUGGCUGUUCGCCAUUUAAAGUGGUACGCGAGCUGGGUUUAGAACGUCGUGAGACAGUUCGGUCCCUAUCUGCCGUGGGCGCUGGAGAACUGAGGGGGGCUGCUCCUAGUACGAGAGGACCGGAGUGGACGCAUCACUGGUGUUCGGGUUGUCAUGCCAAUGGCACUGCCCGGUAGCUAAAUGCGGAAGAGAUAAGUGCUGAAAGCAUCUAAGCACGAAACUUGCCCCGAGAUGAGUUCUCCCUGAGACUUAGAGUCUCCUGAAGGAACGUUGAAGACGACGACGUUGAUAGGCCGGGUGUGUAAGCGCAGCGAUGCGUUGAGCUAACCGGUACUAAUGAACCGUGAGGCUUAACCUUACAACGCCGAAG